UGUUAGUAAUUUUAUCCAUUUAUAUUAUUAAAAACUAGCAUGACUAAUGGGAUAAUCAAACAAUGGCAUUACAUGCCACUUAUACCUCAUGUUGAUGUAUGAUGAUUAAUUAGUUUUUAACAGUAAAAAUAAAUGAAAUUUUUAAUA
rnacentral:pre_miRNA from 1 species